UUGUUGGUUAUUUUUUAAUUUUCUUAAAAAUUCUUUAUAGUACUCCCGAGAAGAAAAAGAAGCCCGGUUGCUUUGUUUUGGCGAGGGAAGAUUGAAGAACCAAAAAACAAGAGCUGCAUCGAAUUCUGCAUAUACACAACAGAUUCAUCUACUCGACAUCUUUCAAGUUGUUAGAUCAAACAUCAAUCGGAUUCAUGAGCAAUCCUUACAUUUCCCCCAAAUUCAGGUUACUAAUUAGUACAAAUUCACUUCAUCUCUGAAUUUCAAUCGCAUCGAUGGUGAACCUGUAUAAACCGCCUUGUGCUAGUAUCUUUUAUAGGCCUAUUAGGCCCUCUGAUUUGCAGCUUCUCGAGAAACUCCAUGCCGAUCUUUUUCCUAUCAGAUAUGAGUCGGAAUUCUACUUGAAUGUUGUUCAUGGUCGUGAUAUUGUCUCCUGGGGCGCUGUUGAUCGGAAUCGCUCGGAUGGUCUAAGUGAUCAGCUUAUUGGAUUUGUCACUGCCAGACUUGUUAUGGCAAAAGGAAGUGAUGUGGAAGAUAUACUCAGAUUCGAAACGUCAGAAGCAAACCAGACUCUAGUUUAUAUUUUGACACUUGGAGUGGUGGAAUCUUAUAGAAAUUUUGGCAUUGCCACUUCAUUAAUCAAAGAGGUUAUCAAGUAUGCUUCAAACAUUACAAUGUGCCAAGCAGUUUACCUACAUGUGAUUUCCUACAAUAAUUCUGCCAUCCAUCUUUACGAGAAAAUGUCCUUUCAGUGUGUACGGAGAUUGCACGCUUUCUAUUUCAUCAACGGGCAGCAUUAUGAUUCAUACCUGUUCAUAUAUUAUGUAAAUGGUGGUCGAUCUCCUUGCUCGCCAUUGUGUGUAUCACGUAAGACACUGGAAACACAAAAGAUUACCUUCUCUGGGGGUCAGCUCCCCUUCCCGUUGCCCAAAAAAGCAAUAUCAUGGCAGAGAGAACUUGCGACGAUUUUCAUUGCUUACAUAAGGUGUGGAUUUAAAGCAGCUGCAUCAAAGUUAUGGAGGAAGAAAGAUAAGAAGGUACCUGUGUGGAUGAAGUGUAAAGAAAGCAGUGGCCUACUACCAACAACGCAAAACAAGAGAAUCCUCACAAGUCACAACUGAGAGACUAGAGAGAGAUACUAGCUCGUGGUGACCAAGAAGUUAAAGAGCAUUCCAAUUUUCAAUGGAUGAAAGUGACCGUGCUCAAGGAAACAAAAGAGGCCGCUCAAACAACUCUUUGGAAUAUUCAUUUUGAAAGAUACGGCAAGGCAAAGCUGCCUGUGCUGAAAGCAAAAGUGUGGCUGUAAUUGCUAUGGACGAAGGAACAGAAUGGAAGAAAGCAUGAAAUGCUUUGUGCAUAAUUUUGAUGGUGAGCAGCUGGUAAUUGUGGAGGUUGACUUAUUGGAUGAGUUUUAAAGGGACUGUGCACGCCUUUUUCUUCAGGAGGAGUAGGUAAUGUCCGGAUUAUUAGUACCUUUACCACCAAAGAAGAUAGUUGAGAACUUGAGAUUAUAUGGUGAUUCAUUUUGUGGCAGCAUUAGCCGAGACUGUAACAGAUCCACAACGUUUAGGAUUUUCUUUUAGACUGAUGAUCAAUGCGGGGAAGUUCUGACUUGAAACUCGGGCACAGGCUUCCAUGCUCGUGAUAUUUAUGAAUGAUAUCAUUAUUCAUUUUUGAUUUACAACUGUUGUUAUUAUAUA